UACGAAGGGUGCAAGCGUUAAUCGGAAUUACUGGGCGUAAAGGGCGCGUAGGCGGAUAGUUUAGUCAGAGGUGAAAGCCCAGGGCUCAACCUUGGAAUUGCCUUUGAUACUGGCUAUCUUGAGUUCGGGAGAGGUGAGUGGAACUCCGAGUGUAGAGGUGAAAUUCGUAGAUAUUCGGAAGAACACCAGUGGCGAAGGCGACUCACUGGCCCGAUACUGACGCUGAGGCGCGAAAGCGUGGGGAGCAAACAGG
rnacentral:rRNA from 1 species